UGCAAGUCGAACGAGGUGCUUUUGUAGCAAUACGAGAGUAUCCUAGUGGCGAACGGGUGAGUAACGCGUUGGUGACCUACCCCAAAGUGUGGAAUAACAGUCCGAAAGGAUUGCUAAUACCGCAUGUGGUUAUCGGAUUUAGAAACUGAUAACUAAAGGAGCAAUUCGCUUUGGGAGGGACCUGCGUCCCAUCAGCUAGUUGGUGAGGUAACGGCUCACCAAGGCUACGACGGGUAGGGGACCUGAGAGGGUGACCCCCCACAAUGGAACUGAAACACGGUCCAUACACCUACGGGUGGCAGCAGUAGGGAAUAUUGCACAAUGGGCGAAAGCCUGAUGCAGCAACGCCGCGUGUGCGAUGAAGGCCUUCGGGUCGUAAAGCACUUUUCUGAGAGAUGAGAAAGGACAGUAUCUCAGGAAUAAGUCUCGGCUAACUACGUGCCAGCAGCCGCGGUAAAACGUAGGAGGCGAGCGUUAUCCGGAAUUAUUGGGCGUAAAGAGCUCGUAGGCGGUUUGUCACGUCGGCUGUGAAAUCCCGAGGCUCAACCUCGGGUCUGCAGUCGAUACGGGCAGACUAGAGUACUGCAGGGGAGACUGGAAUUCCUGGUGUAGCGGUGGAAUGCGCAGAUAUCAGGAGGAACACCGGUGGCGAAGGCGGGUCUCUGGGCAGUAACUGACGCUGAGGAGCGAAAGCGUGGGGAGCGAACAGGAUUAGAUACCCUGGUAGUCCACGCCGUAAACGGUGGGCGCUAGGUGUGGGGACCAUUCCACGGUCUCUGUGCCGCAGCUAACGCAUUAAGCGCCCCGCCUGGGGAGUACGGCCGCGAGGCUAAAACUCAAAGGAAUUGACGGGGGCCCGCACAAGCGACGGAGCAUGUGGCUUAAUUCGAUGCAACGCGAAGAACCUUACCUGGGCUUGACAUGUU
rnacentral:rRNA from 1 species